rnacentral:rRNA from 1 species
AGAGUUUGAUCCUGGCUCAGGAUGAACGCUGACAGAAUGCUUAACACAUGCAAGUCGAUGGGGAAGUGGUGCUUGCACCAUGGUAACCAUGGCGGACGGGUGAGUAACGCGUAAGGAACUUGCCUGCGGGACUGGGAUAACAGCAGGAAACUGCUGAUAAUACCGGAUAAAGUCAUUAAGCUGCAUAGCUUAGUGAUGAAAGGAGACGCCUGCGGAGAGCCUUGCGUCCUAUUAGCUAGUUGGAGGGGUAACGGCCCACCAAGGCGAAGAUAGGUAGCCGGCCUGAGAGGGUGGACGGCCACAAGGGGACUGAGAUACGGCCCUUACUCCUACGGGAGGCAGCAGUGGGGAAUAUUGGACAAUGGGGGCAACCCUGAUCCAGCAAUUCUGUGUGCACGAAGACGGUUUUCGGAUUGUAAAGUGCUUUCAGCAGGGAAGAAGGAAGUGACGGUACCUGCAGAAGAAGCGACGGCUAAAUACGUGCCAGCAGCCGCGGUAAUACGUAUGUCGCGAGCGUUAUCCGGAAUUAUUGGGCAUAAAGGGCAUCUAGGCGGCCUUUCAAGUCAGGGGUGAAAACCUGCGGCUCAACCGCAGGCCUGCCUUUGAAACUGAUAGGCUGGAGUACCGGAGAGGUGGACGGAACUGCACGAGUAGAGGUGAAAUUCGUAGAUAUGUGCAGGAAUGCCGAUGAUGAAGAUAGUUCACUGGACGGUAACUGACGCUGAAGUGCGAAAGCUAGGGGAGCAAACAGGAUUAGAUACCCUGGUAGUCCUAGCUGUAAACGAUGAUUACUGGGUGUGGGCAUGAAGAGUGUCCGUGCCGAAGCUAAUGCGAUAAGUAAUCCGCCUGGGGAGUACGGCCGCAAGGCUGAAACUCAAAGGAAUUGACGGGGACCCGCACAAGCGGUGGAGCAUGU